AGAAGAUGGUGCUAAGGGCACGAUUGUAUUCUUUGAUGGUUGGGCUUUUGGAAAACGAGUGAGUAUUGUGCGUGUGUUUGGUAUUGUGCGUGUUGAUGAUGCGAUGGAAAGGGUUGGAUAUGGUGGUGAGAGAGGAGGUGGGUUAGAUGAAAAGGGGUAGCACGGUGAGGCUGAUGAUGAUGGCACCGACGAUGAGAUAUUGGGGUUGAGGGAAGAUCCGUGCUUAGGCAGGUGAUGGUGGUGAGUCCCUAUUCUAUGGCUGUAGUCUCCUCUUUCCCCUGUUUACCCUUUCUUUCCUUUUCCCAUAUUGUAUUUUUUUGUUGGAAAUGUUAUUACCAGCGCGAGAGAAAAUACUACUGAGGGGGAGCAAUGGAAGUGAAUUCCUGUUUUUUUCUGGUGAAGGCCAAUCCUCCC
rnacentral:lncRNA from 1 species